rnacentral:rRNA from 1 species
CAACUCGACUACAUGAAGCUGGAAUCGCUAGUAAUCGCGAAUCAGCAUGUCGCGGUGAAUACGUUCCCGGUCUUGUACACACCGCCCGUCACACCAUGGGAGUCAGUAACGCCCGAAGCCGGUGACCCAACCAAGAAUGGAGGGAGCCGUCGAAGGUGGGACCGAUAACUGGGGUGAAGUCGUAACAAGGUACC